UGGGGAAUAUUGGACAAUGGGCGAAAGCCUGAUCCAGCCAUGCCGCGUGUGUGAAGAAGGCCUUUUGGUUGUAAAGCACUUUAAGUGGGGAGGAAAAGCUUAUGGUUAAUACCCAUAAGCCCUGACGUUACCCACAGAAUAAGCACCGGCUAACUCUGUGCCAGCAGCCGCGGUAAUACAGAGGGUGCAAGCGUUAAUCGGAAUUACUGGGCGUAAAGCGCGCGUAGGUGGUUAUUUAAGUCAGAUGUGAAAGCCCCGGGCUUAACCUGGGAACUGCAUCUGAUACUGGAUAACUAGGGUAGGUGAGAGGGGAGUAGAAUUCCAGGUGUAGCGGUGAAAUGCGUAGAGAUCUGGAGGAAUACCGAUGGCGAAGGCAGCUCCCUGGCAUCAUACUGACACUGAGGUGCGAAAGCGUGGGUAGCAAACAGGAUUAGAUACCCUGGUAGUCCACGCCGUAAACGAUGUCUACCAGUCGUUGGGUCUUUUAAAGACUUAGUGACGCAGUUAACGCAAUAAGUAGACCGCCUGGGGAGUACGGCCGCAAGGUUA
rnacentral:rRNA from 1 species